AUACGGAAGGGGCAAACGUUGUUCGGAUUCACUGGGCGUAAAGCGACCGCAGGCGGUCUAUUAAGUCAGAUGUGAAAGCCCCGCGCUCAACGUGGGAACUGCAUUUGAAACUGAUAGACUAGAAUUCGAGAGGGGAAAAUGGAAUUCCAAGUGUAGAGGUGAAAUUCGUAGAUAUUUGGAGGAACACCAGAGGCGAAGGCGAUUUUCUGGCUCGAUACUGACGCUCAGGGUCGAAAGCGUGGGGAGCAAACAGGAUUAGAAACCCUGGUAGUCC
rnacentral:rRNA from 1 species